UUGUCUGUCGUUUACUCUGUUGACGUGACUGCAAUAUUAUUUGGCAAUUUAUCUAAUUUUUCGCUAGAGAGUCAUAAAAUAGAAAUGAUUUCGCGCGUGUGUGUUGGUGUGUUUGUUUGAAUGAAAAUACUUAUUAAAGCAAUAACUUGUGAAUUGAGAAUGGCAGCUGGGGG